rnacentral:rRNA from 1 species
UGGCUCAGAACGAACGCUGGCGGCGUGCUUAAUACAUGCAAGUCGUGCGAGAAAGUACCUUCGGGGUGCGAGUACAGCGGCAAACGGGUGAGUAACACGUAAGGAAUCUGCCUCCAAAUCCGGAAUAGCUCUGCCAACGCGGAAUUAAUGCCGGAUGUGGUUGCAUGGUCGCAUGGCUAUGCAACUAAAGGUGACCUCUUCGUUUGAAAGUUACCGUUUGGAGAUGACCUUGCGGCCCAUUAGCUUGUUGGCGGGGUAACGGCCCACCAAGGCUGCGAUGGGUAGCCGGCCUGAGAGGGUGAUCGGCCACAUUGGGACUGAGAUACGGCCCAGACUCCUACGGGAGGCAGCAGUAGGGAAUUUUGCGCAAUGGACGAAAGUCUGACGCAGCAACGCCGCGUGAGCGAUGAAGGUCUUCGGAUCGUAAAGCUCUGUUGAGUGGGAAGAAACGUCUCGGGGUUAAUAUCUCCGAGGCCUGACGGUACCACUCGAGGAAGCUCCGGCCAACUACGUGCCAGCAGCCGCGGUAAUACGUAGGGAGCGAGCGUUGUUCGGAAUCACUGGGCGUAAAGGGAGUGCAGGCGGAAAGGUAAGUCAGAAGUGUAAUCUACGGGCUUAACCCGUAUCUCGCUUUUGAUACUGCUUUUCUUGAGUAGUGGAGAGGGAAACGGAAUUCCAGGUGUAGCGGUGGAAUGCGUAGAUAUCUGGAAGAACACCAGUAGCGAAGGCGGUUUCCUGGCCACAUACUGACGCUGAGGCUCGAAAGCGUGGGGAGCAAACAGGAUUAGAUACCCUGGUAGUCCACGCCGUANACGAUGGGCACUAGAUAUCGGGGAAUUCGAUUUCUUCGGUGUCGCAGUUAACGCGAUAAGUGCCCC